rnacentral:rRNA from 1 species
CGAAAGCGAGUUUUAACUGAGCGUUCAGUUACUUGACGUAGACCCGAAACCGGGCGACCUACCCAUGAGCAGGAUGAAGCGAAAGUAAAAUUUCGUGGAGGUCCGAACCCACGAGCGUUGAAAAGCUCGGGGAUGACUUGUGGGUAGCGGUGAAAUUCCAAUCGAGCCCGGAGAUAGCUGGUUCUCCCCGAAAUAGCUUUAGGGCUAGCCUCAAGGUGAGAGAUACGGAGGUAGAGCACUGAAUGUCCUAGGGGGUAUUGCACCUACCGAAGACUAUCAAACUCCGAAUGCCGUCAUCUUAUACUUGGGAGUCAGACUGUGGGUGAUAAGAUUCAUAGUCGAAAGGGCAACAGCCCAGAUCGUCAGCUAAGGUCCCUAAAUGUAAGUUAAGUGGUAAAGGAUGUGGGAUUGCACAGACAACCAGGAUGUUGGCUUAGAAGCAGCCACUCAUUCAAAGAGUGCGUAAUAGCUCACUGGUCGAGUGAUCCUGCGCCGAAGAUUUCCGGGGCUAAAACUUACUACCGAAGCUACGGCAUCAGUAAUGAUGGGUAGGGGAGCUUCCCAUACGGGUUGAAGCAUGACCGUAAGGACAUGUGGACAGUAUGGGAGUGAGAAUGUUGGCAUGAGUAGCGAGAUGUGGGUGAGAAUCCCACAGGCCGUAAACCCAAGGUUUCCAGGGGAAGGUUCGUCCGCCCUGGGUUAGUCGGGACCUAAGCUGAGGCCGAAAGGCGUAGGUGAUGGACAACAGGUUGAUAUUCCUGUAC